rnacentral:rRNA from 1 species
UACAGAGGUCCCAAGCGUUGUUCGGAUUCACUGGGCGUAAAGGGUGCGUAGGCGGUCGGGUAAGUCUGUUGUGAAAUCUCACAGCUUAACUGUGAAACUGCAUUGGAUACUAUCCGGCUAGAGGAAUGGAGGGGAGACUGGAAUACUUGGUGUAGCAGUGAAAUGCGUAGAUAUCAAGUGGAACACCAGUGGCGAAGGCGAGUCUCUGGACAUUACCUGACGCUGAGGCACGAAAGCGAGGGGAGCAAACGGG